UGGACAAUGGUAGGAGAGCGUUCUAAGGGCGUUGAAGCAUGAUCGUAAGGACAUGUGGAGCGCUUAGAAGUGAGAAUGCCGGUGUGAGUAGCGAAAGACGGGUGAGAAUCCCGUCCACCGAUUGACUAAGGUUUCCAGAGGAAGGCUCGUCCGCUCUGGGUUAGUCGGGUCCUAAGCUGAGGCCGACAGGCGUAGGCGAUGGAUAACAGGUUGAUAUUCCUGUACCACCUAUA
rnacentral:rRNA from 1 species